AUUGAACGCUGGCGGCAUGCCUUACACAUGCAAGUCGAACGGUAACAGGUCUUCGGAUGCUGACGAGUGGCGAACGGGUGAGUAAUACAUCGGAACGUGCCUAGUAGUGGGGGAUAACUACUCGAAAGAGUGGCUAAUACCGCAUGAGAUCUACGGAUGAAAGCAGGGGAUCGCAAGACUUUGUGCUACUAGAGCGGCCGAUGUCAGAUUAGGUAGUUGGUGGGAUAAAAGCUUACCAAGCCGACGAUCUGUAGCUGGUCUGAGAGGACGAUCAACCACACUGUGAGUGAGACGCGGCCCAGACUCCUACGGGAGUCGGCAGUGGGGAAUGUUGGACAAUGGGAGCACGCCUGAUCCAGCAAUGCCGCGUGCAGGAUGAAGGCCUUCGGGUUGUAAACUGCUUUUGUCCGGAACGAAAACCCCCGAGUUAAUACCCUGGGGUCAUGACGGUACCGUAAGAAUAAGCACCGGCUAACUACGUGCCAGCCGCCGCAGUAA
rnacentral:rRNA from 1 species